UUGGGCCGACAGGAAGAUCUCGUCGUCGCGCAACAAUGGCGUCAGUGUCAGGCGUCGUGAUGAAGCUGAGGAUCUUCUUCUCUCUUCUCGGGAUUCUGGUAGGAUUAUCCGUCGUCUUUGUCUUCGGAAUUAAAUUCCACAACUGGAAUAUUGCCCUCUGGGGCCUCCUAUCAGCGAUCCCUGCCUCAUUGACUUUCUCUCUUCACAUAUGUUACCUGAAAGGUGUUUGGCAAACUUAUCCGUAUCGACUCAAAUAUAUGGUCAUCACAGGAUGUUUCUUCCAGUUGGCAGGAAUUAUUGGUUUCGUCACUUACCUGGCAUUGGGAUUCUAUUUUCAACAAGGUUUACAGAUUUACGGGAAUGGUUACUUCCUGACCACAGUUUGGUGCUUCAUGACCUGGAAAUGGGGUCUCCUGCUCUUGUACUUCACUCGAUCUUACCGCCAGUUACUCUGUGAUGUUUACACUAUUUUGCCAACAGAAGCGCCACCUUUGAAUGGUGACGAUUGAGGUGGAAACGGAUUGAAGACAUAUCAAGUGGAAUCAUUCAGAACCAAAGUUGUGGCAUUCAUGGAGUGUUCCUGUAAGAAUUUAAAGAGUUGUUGGUGAAUUUCAACGGUUGUUGUAAUGGGACCAAUGACCAGCACUGCCAUCACCAAUAUCUCCGCUGUCUCAGACAAUGUUGUAUUUCUUUGUGGUUGCCUGUGAGAUGGUUUUGGGAUGCUCUGUGAAAAUAUUUCUUCCAGUCCAUGAAAACAUGCUGAAUGUUGGUGUAGUUGGUAAUCCUUAGACAAGAUUCUUGGAUGCAGCCAGCAGAAACGUUAGCAUGCUGGGCAAAAUGCUUCUUGCUAUUUCAUCUGCCGUUACGUUCAAAUUCCAUCAAGGCUGACUUUGCCUUUCAUCCUUUUGGGGUCGAUAAAUUAAGUACCAGUUACACACUGGGGUCGAUGAAAUCGACUUAAAUCUCUUUGUCCUUGUUUAGCCCCUUGUGGGCAAUAAAGACAUAAGAUUCUUGGAUGCACAAUAUCUGCCUUCUGGCAGAAACUGGGCGAAAUGCUUAGCCAUAUUUUGUCUGUCUUUACGUUCUGAGUUCAAAUUCUGCCAAGGUCGACUUUGCCUUUCAUUCUUUCGGAAUCAAUAAAUUAAGUACCAGUUAUGUACUGGGGUCAAUCUAGUCGACUGCCCACCCACCACCCUCCCCAGAAAUUUCAGGCCUUGUGCCUACAGUAGAAAAGAAUAUCUGCCUUGUGGUGGUCUGGUCCAUGACAGAGCCUGCCUGUUUGUUCUGUGGUAUUUGCCAUUCUGUUUUUUAAGUCUGUUCACUUUCACUGACCAACCAGAAUGGCUGCUUGAUAUGAGAUUCUGUGACGGUUCAACGUUUCCUUUUUUACGACUCAUGGCAAACCAGGAUUUUGUCUUCGAUGUAAAUUAUUUUUGAUAUUUACCAAAUAGGUGCAGGAGUGGCUGUGUGGUAAGUAGCUUGCUUACCAACCACAUGGUUCCGGGUUCAUUCCCACUGCGUGGCACCU
rnacentral:misc_RNA from 1 species